AGCUUUGCGCAGUGGCAGAAUCGCAGCCAAUGAUGUUUAUCUGAGGCACGAUUAUUGCUAAUUGAAGUACAGGAAAGUGAAUGUCAUUUGGGGUGAACCUAUGACAAUUAAGAAAUGAUAGGGAUAUAU
rnacentral:snRNA from 1 species